GCCUCUAAGGAUGAAUAGCAAAUAACUUUCGUUCUUCCAAGAUGUUCCAUGCGGAGAAAGUUUUGGAGACCUGAACUGAAGGGGC